rnacentral:rRNA from 1 species
UACGUAGGGGGCUAGCGUUGUCCGGAUUUAUUGGGCGUAAAGAGCGUGUAGGCGGCCAGGUAGGUCUGCUGUGAAAACUCGAGGCUCAACCUCGAGACGUCGGCGGAAACCAUCUGGCUAGAGUCCGGAAGAGGAGAGUGGAAUUCCUGGUGUAGCGGUGAAAUGCGCAGAUAUCAGGAAGAACACCAAUGGCGAAAGCAGCUCUCUGGGACGGUACUGACGCUGAGACGCGAAAGCGUGGGGAGCGAACAGG